UGCGAUAGGGGGAGUAUUACCCCUAUCGUAGCAAUGUAGCAGUAGCA
rnacentral:sRNA from 12 species